rnacentral:rRNA from 1 species
GAUGAACGCUAGCGGCAGGCUUAACACAUGCAAGUCGAGGGGUAGAAGGAGCUUGCUCCUUUGAGACCGGCGCACGGGUGCGUAACGCGUAUGCAAUCUACCUUUUGCAGAGGAUAGCCCAGAGAAAUUUGGAUUAAUACCUCAUAGUAUGUGAGGAUGGCAUCAUUUUCACAUUAAAGUCACAACGGCAAAAGAUGAGCAUGCGUCCCAUUAGCUAGUUGGUAAGGUAACGGCUUACCAAGGCUACGAUGGGUAGGGGUCCUGAGAGGGAGAUCCCCCACACUGGUACUGAGACACGGACCAGACUCCUACGGGAGGCAGCAGUGAGGAAUAUUGGACAAGUGGGCGCAAGCCUGAUCCAGCCAUGCCGCGUGCAGGAUGACGGUCCUAUGGAUUGUAAACUGCUUUUUGACAGGAAGAAACACUACUUCGUGAAGUAGCUUGACGGUACUGUAAGAAUAAGGAUCGG